rnacentral:rRNA from 1 species
CCUACGGGAGGCAGCAGUGAGGAAUAUUGGUCAAUGGGCGCGAGCCUGAACCAGCCAAGUAGCGUGAAGGAUGACUGCCCUACGGGUUGUAAACUUCUUUUAUAAAGGAAUAAAGUGAGGCACGUGGGCCUUGUGGUAUGUACGGGAUGAAGAAGGAUCGGCUAACUCCGUGCCAGCAGCCGCGGUAAUACGGAGGAACCGAGCGUUAUCCGGAUUUAUUGGGGUUAAAGGGAGCGUAGAGGGGUUGUUAAGUCAGUUGUGAAAGUUUGCGGCUCCACCGUAAAAUUGCAAUUGAUACUGGCCGUCUUGAGUACAGUUGCUGUAGGCGGAUUUCGUUGUGUAGCGG